AUUGAACGCUGGCGGCAGGCCUAACACAUGCAAGUCGAACGAGUGGCGGACGGGUGAGUAAUGUCUGGGAAACUGCCUGAUGGAGGGGGAUAACUACUGGAAACGGUAGCUAAUACAGCAUACCAUCGGAUGUGCCCAGAUGGGAUUAGCUAGUAGGUGGGGUAAAGGCUCACCGAGGCGACGAUCCCUAGCUGGUCUGAGAGGAGGACCAGCCACACUGGAACUGUGACACGGUCCAGAUUCCUACGUGAGGCAGCAGUGGGGAAUAUUGCACAAUGGGCGCAAGCCUUAUGCAGCCAGGCCGCGUGUAUGAAGAAGGCCUUCGGGUUGUAAAGUACUUUCAGCGGGGAGGCGUUACCCGCAGAAGAAGCACCGGCUAGCUCCGUGACAGCAGCUGCGGUAAUAC
rnacentral:rRNA from 1 species